UCCCCCGGGACCGCGUUGCCUCGGCGACAUCAGGCGGGCAACGCCGGCGGAUUAAAUCGACUCAGAGCAGCUGCCCCCUGAAAAACAGGACAGCCCUGGCCUCGGGGAGCAUGGGAGCCCAGAGGUUCAUCUCACCAGAGCCUGGGAAUGCAGAACAGCCAUGUGACUAAUGAGAUUAGCAGCUCUGUUAGCAAGAAAAACUAGACACGAAAAUCAAGAUGAGCAUCUUCCAUGGACACCUCACUUCAAGAUCUUACCAUUAUUCCAAGCAAAUCUUUAGCCGACCUUCUCCACCUGCCCCUGUACCCAGAAUGGGAGCGUGGGAUGAAGCAAGGGGAGAGGUCAGCACAGACCUUUGGGAAGGGAAGGGCUGGUCUCCCAAACCAGCAGGCAGCUCUGGCAUCUCUGAAUGUGCUCACACUGCUCUUCCCAGCUCCCAGGGAGGUUAGGAGCUCAGCAGGAUGUCUUUGACAGGGCAGCUGGAAUGGGCAGCUUUAAGCAUCAGUGUCUGGAAUUGCAAGAAAGAAGAGGCACAUCUGUCCUCCCAAGAGGUGUCAGUAUUUCUGAAACAUUGCUUGAGACAUGCUUCUUCCUAGACAGAAUUUUCCAUCACUGCCCUCCAUUCCCUGGAGCACCACACUGAGUGUGGCUAUGACAUGCUGACAUGGAACUUA